CCGGGUAAUACCGCGUACGACCCUGUUUUCUCAUGGAGGCGAGGGUGAAGCGGCGCAAGCUCGCGCCAGACGAGGGCUCGCGGCCUAUCAGCUUGUUGGUGAGGUAACGGCUCACCAAGGCGACGACGGGUAGCUGGUCUGAGAGGAUGAUCAGCCACAUUGGGACUGAGAUACGGCCCAG
rnacentral:rRNA from 1 species